AAAAGACGUAGAGUAGGUGGAGUCAGAGAGACGCCAUGUAGCCACUGCUGGAGACAGAUGCCAGAGGGUACCUUCCUGGUGGGCCACAACCGCGUGGUGAUACACAGAUCAAUAGGAAUGAGUUAAUUUAAGAUGUAAGAGCUAGCUAGGAACACGCUUAAGCUAUUGGCCAAACAGUAUUGCAAUUAACAGUUUCUGUGUGAUUAUUUCAGGUCUGGGCAGCCCUGAAACGAGCAAGGCGCCUCCGCCUACAAGGGGGAGGUGCAGUCACUUCCUCAACUGUCUCAACUUCUUUCUAAAAGCAGUUUUUCAAUGUGAACAGCCAAUACAAGGGCAUAAUUUGAUGAAUUACACUGUAAUUGAACAGAUUUCAUUCACAUGCUGUGUAAUCAGAAUUGUUCUCUUUCGUACUGCCAGGAGCCACCUGCUUCCUCACCUCUCCAGGCUUUCAACACGAUUUUUCUCUGCCUGGAGCACAUUUUAUUUAUUUCUCAGCCAGCUCCACUUAUCCUAAGAGCUGACGUAAAAGACACUCCUGGAACACCUGGAUGAAGAAAUCUGAGAAGCAUUCGCGGGCUCAUCAGCACGUCCCUCCCCGACGCAGCUCUGAGCAGCGAUCUGUGCACAACCAACCUGUGUGGAAAAUGACAGUGC